ACGAAAAUUGUUCGAGUUUCGCAUCUUAACAGAGGAAAAAAAUUAGAAAUUAGAGCUUCAAAUUAUGGAUUAUUCUCUAUCUCAGGUAAAUAAUUUUAAUUCUUUGUUCAUUAAUAGUUUUGCUGUAAUUUUAUUGUUUUCUGUCCUAUACUUACACUAAAACAAGUUUUUUCUAGAUCCGGAUUCCGGAUGCGCAAAUUUCGUUCAACGAUGAAUAUGGCGCAGAUUAAGAUGAAGAUAUUUUUCCAACUUUACUGGAAUAACAUGCCAUGUCCAACCUUGGAUAUUCCACGAUACUCUUCGUGGAAGAUGUUUUUUGUUGGUGCUUCAUUUCUUGUGGCCGUAAUUAGACCAAAUUCAUAUCCAGCUUCAAAUUCAAAGAGGUGAUCGAAAUGCCAAAUUAUAAAAAGGAGAGCCCUCACUUUAUUUUUAUUUAUAUAACAGGCAAUUCUUCAGCGGAAUAAUAAACUCGAGCCAGCUAGUACGAGAAUCAAUUUUCACUAACAUUAUAAGUAAUAUACGUAUGUAUGUACAUACAUAUAAGCAUGUACAAUUUUUAUAUUUAUGUGUAUGUAUGUAGUAAAUAUGUAGAGCCAUGUGAAGAAAUUUAAUCUUUAACCAAAUGGUAUUUUAAAAAAUAAAUACAUAUUUUUGAAACUAUAUGGUUCCCCCAGGGUUCUAAUCUAUUUCCGCAAGGAGUUAAAUAUAUGCGCAAGACGGA